rnacentral:rRNA from 1 species
UACGGAGGGUGCAAGCGUUAUCCGGAUUCACUGGGUUUAAAGGGUGCGUAGGUGGGUCUGUAAGUCAGUGGUGAAAUCUCCAAGCUUAACUUGGAAACUGCCGUUGAUACUAUAGACCUUGAAUGCUGUGGAGGUGAGCGGAAUACGUCAUGUAGCGGUGAAAUGCUUAGAUAUGACAUAGAACACCAAUUGCGAAGGCAGCUCACUACCCAGAUAUUGACACUGAGGCACGAAAGCGUGGGGAUCAAACAGG